rnacentral:rRNA from 1 species
AAUGAACGCUGGCGGCGUGCCUAAUACAUGCAAGUCGAGCGAACAGAUAAGGAGCUUGCUCCUUUGACGGUAGCGGGGGACGGGUGAGUAAGGCGUACGUAACCUACCUAUUUGACUGGAGUAACUACGGGGAACCGCGUCCAAUACCGCAUCAUACUUAGAACCGCAGGGAUCUAAAGUGAAAGAUAGUUUUGCUAUCUCUUAUAGAUGGAGCCGCGCCGGAUUAGCUAGUUGGUAAGGUAACGGCUCACCAAGGCAACGAUACGUAGCUGACCUGAGAGGGUGAUCGGCCACACUGGAACUGAGACACGGUCCAGACUCCUACGGGAGGCAGCAGUAGGGAAUCUUCGACAAUGGGCGAAAGCCUGACGCAGCAACGCCGCGUGAGUGAUGAAGGUCUUCGGAUCGUAAAACCCUUUUAUUAGGAAAGAACAAAUGCGGAUGUAACUGCCGACGUCUUGACGGUACCUAAACAGUAAGCCACGGCUAACUACGUG